ensembl:misc_RNA Y_RNA Y RNA
AGCUGGUCCGAGUGCAGUGGUGUUUACAACUGAUUCAUCACAACCACUUACAGAUGUCUUUGUUCCUUCUCCACUCCCACUGCUUCACUUGACUAGCCUUAA